rnacentral:tRNA from 1 species
GCCUGGGUGGCUCAGUCGGUUGAGCGUCUGACUUCGGCUCAGGUCAUGAUUUCGCUGUUCGUGAGUUUGAGCCCCACGUUGGGCU